GAGCAGCGCCGCGUUCGAGCCGUGAGGCGCUGUGGGGGCUGCUGUGGGGCUCCUCCCUUCCCCUGCCGUUACUCCCCCUGCCCUCCCUUAGGCACGGCUUGCUCUGCCUGCCCUGCCUGCAGCAACCUCGUGAUUGGGAUCGGAAGCAUUAUAACUUGGUGGCACGCUGGAGUUGUGUGGUCAGGCCCCUCUGCCUGUGUAUCCAGCUCUCAGCUCGCAAACACCCUCCAGUUCCUGAGGGGAGCUCCUGAGCGGGAGGGAGAGCAGCUUUUUUACACGGGCAGAGGGUGACGGGACGAGGAAGAACGCCUUUAAACUGAAAGUGGAGGUUUAGCUGAGGAGGAAACCGCUUUCCCGGAGGGCGGUGAGGCCCUGGCAUAGGCUGCCUGGAGAGGUGUGGGUGCUCCAUCCCUGGAGCGGCUCCAAGCCAGGCUGGGUGAUCCCUGAGCAGCCCCAGGUAGGUGUGGAAAGCUGCUGGACACAACCAUUCCAACCCAACCGUUCUGUCAUUCCAUGCUGACCGGCCUACGCGACCGGCAGGAGCUGCAGAUGGAGCCUUGCACUGCCUCAGCAUCACAAAGCAUGGAACUUCGUUUGUGUAAAGCCUGCACUAUACCACUUCGCUUCAUGCAGUGUGUUCCCAUCCCAUGGGUUCCCAUCCCCAAGAAGAGCUGUUGGAGUGAAUAAUGGCCAUCGGCUGUGGCUGAGCUGCUGUGACCUACCUGUGGUCGUGCUGAGGAAUGGCGUCCACCACUGCAAAGCUUCAGGGACCUUUCUGUGCCUUUCAGCAGGGCGCCUGGCAGCAGACAACAGCACUCAUUCGAACAGUGAGGAGGGAGUAGGCGUCUGUAAGGGAGCCAAUCCCGUGUUCUGGUGCCAUGGUGGAAGACAGGUUUCUUUACACCACUCCACAAUGAGUGAACUUUUGCAAGCAAGGUAAUAAAUCAGCACCGUGCUGUAAGUUGUUUGCUCCACA